GAUGAGCCCGCGGCCUAUCAGCUUGUUGGUGAGGUAGAAGCUCACCAAGGCGACGACGGGUAGCCGGCCUGAGAGGGCGACCGGCCACACUGGGACUGAGACACGGCCCAGACUCCUACGGGAGGCAGCAGUGGGGAAUAUUGCACAAUGGGCGAAAGCCUGAUGCAGCGACGCCGCGUGAGGGAUGACGGCCUUCGGGUUGUAAACCUCUUUCAGCAGGGAAGAAGCGCAAGUGGCGGUACCUGCAGAAGAAGCGCCGGCUAACUACGUGCCAGCAGCCGCGGUAAUACGUAGGGCGCAAGCGUUGUCCGGAAUUAUUGGGCGUAAAGAGCUCGUAGGCGGCUUGUCACGUCGGGUGUGAAAGACCGGGGCUUAGCCCCGGUUCUGCAUUCGAUACGGGCUGGCUAGAGUGUGGUAGGGGAGAUCGGAAUUCCUGGUGUAGCGGUGAAAUGCGCAGAUAUCAGGAGG
rnacentral:rRNA from 1 species